rnacentral:rRNA from 1 species
GUCUAUGGCCAUAAGACCCUGAACAUGCCCAAUCUCAUCUGAUCAUGAAAGCUAAGCAGGGUCGGGCCUGCUUAGUACUUGGAUGGGAAUAUACUGUAUGAUUAAGAAAUACUUGCACAACAAAAA